GACGAACGCUGGCGGCGUGCCUAAUACAUGCAAGUCGAACGCAGUGGGGACGGGUGAGUAACACGUGGGUAACCUCCCAUCAGAGGGGAUAACACUUGGAAACAGGUGCUAAACCGAUACUGAUGGAUGGACCCGCGGUGCAGUAGCUAGUUGGUGAGGUAACGGCUCACCAAGGCCACGAUGCAUAGCAGAGCUGAGCGGGUGGUCGGCCACCCUGGGACUGAGACGAGGCACAGACGCAGAUGGGAGGCAAGAGUAGAGAAUCUUCGGUAAUGGAAGAAAGGCUGACCGAGCAACGCCGAGUAAGGGAAAAAGGUUAUGGGAUCGUAGAAGUAUGUUGUUAGAGAAGCGGUAUCAAACCAGAAAGCAACGGCUAACUACGUGCCAGCAGCCGCGGUAAUAC
rnacentral:rRNA from 1 species